GUAGCUGCGAGCGAACAGGGAAGAGCCCAGCACCGAAUCCCGCGGUCGAUACCGGGCGCCGGGAAAUGUGGUGUUUGGGAGGGUCCAUUAUCCCGAGAUCAUGCGGUGCGUCCAAGUCCUUCUUGAACGGGGCCACAGCCCAUAGAGGGUGCCAGGCCCGUAGUGACCGCUGCUGAUCGCGGGAGGAUCUCUCCUCAGAGUCGGGUUGCUUGAGAGUGCAGCCCUAAGUGGGUGGUAAACUCCAUCUAAGGCUAAAUAUGACCACGAGACCGAUAGCGAACAAGUACCGUGAGGGAAAGUUGAAAAGCACUUUGAAGAGAGAGUUCAAGAGUACGUGAAACCGUUUAGGGGUAAACCUGAGAAACCCGAAAGGUCGAAGGGAGAAAUUCAUUCGCGUUUCGCCGUCGGCGUGAGACGGGGUCGUGUGACGGAGAGCGUUCGCGCGUUUUCCGCACCUUCCGUUUUUCGAACCGAUGGCGAACGCGUGCACUUUUCUCCUGGUAGGACGUCGCGAUCCGUUGGGUGUCGGUCUACGGCUCGUGGUGGAGCCCGACAGUACGGCUUGCCGUUACGGUCGGACCCACGUGUCCUGGCUGACUCGCUCGACGGUAUACGAAAGGUUUAAGGCCGCUCUAGGAGCGUUCGACUCGUGGCAAGCGCGUCAGAUGUGUGUCGGCGACCGGACCUAGUGCCGGUUCUGACCUCUGAUGACUGUUGGCCGCGAAGUUCUCGAACAGACCUCUAACCGAUCUGCGACGCUAUAGCUUUGGGUACUUUCAGGACCCGUCUUGAAACACGGACCAAGGAGUCUAGCAUGUGCGCGAGUCAUUGGGAAACACUUAACCUAAAGGCGCAAUGAAAGUGAAGGUCCGCCUUGCGCGGACUGAGGGAAGACGGGUGGUUUACCUUCAAAGUAGCCGCUCCGCAUUCCCGGGGCGUCUCAUUCUCAUCGCGAGAAGAGGCGCACCAAGAGCGUACACGCUGGGACCCGAAAGAUGGUGAACUAUGCCUGGUCAGGACGAAGUCAGGGGAAACCCUGAUGGAGGUCCGUAGCGAUUCUGACGUGCAAAUCGAUCGUCGGAACUGGGUAUAGGGGCGAAAGACUAAUCGAACCAUCUAGUAGCUGGUUCCCUCCGAAGUUUCCCUCAGGAUAGCUGGCGCUCGUUGCGAACGAGUCUCAUCCGGUAAAGCGAAUGAUUAGAGGCAUUGGGGUCGAAACGACCUCAACCUAUUCUCAAACUUUAAAUGGGUGAG
rnacentral:rRNA from 1 species